rnacentral:rRNA from 1 species
UAAUACGUAGGUGGCAAGCGUUAUCCGGAAUUAUUGGGCGUAAAGAGCGCGCAGGUGGUUGAUUAAGUCUGAUGUGAAAGCCCACGGCUUAACCGUGGAGGGUCAUUGGAAACUGGUCGACUUGAGUGCAGAAGAGGGAAGUGGAAUUCCAUGUGUAGCGGUGAAAUGCGUAGAGAUAUGGAGGAACACCAGUGGCGAAGGCGGCUUCCUGGUCUGUAACUGACACUGAGGCGCGAAAGCGUGGGGAGCAAACAGGAUUAGAUACCCUGGUAGUCCACGCCGUAAACGAUGAGUGCUAAGUGUUGGGGGUCGAACCUCAGUGCUGAAGUUAACGCAUUAAGCACUCCGCCUGGGGAGUACGGUCGCAAGACUG